rnacentral:rRNA from 1 species
CCUACGGGAGGCAGCAGUAAGGAAUAUUGGUCAAUGGAGGCAACUCUGAACCAGCCAUGCCGCGUGCAGGAUGACGGCCCUAUGGGUUGUAAACUGCUUUUAUACAAGAGAAAACCCUGGUACGUGUACCAGGUUGAUAGUAUUGUAAGAAUAAGCAUCGGCUAACUUCGUGCCAGCAGCCGCGGUAAGACGAAGGAUGCAAGCGUUAUCCGGAUUCAUUGGGUUUAAAGGGUGCGUAGGCGGACUGAUAAGUCAGUGGUGAAAUCUCUUUGCUUAACAAGAAACUGCCAUUGAUACUGUCGGUCUAGAGUAUAGAUGACGUUGGCGGAAUAUGACAUGUAGUGGUGAAAUACUUAGAUAUGUCAUAGAACACCGAUUGCGAAGGCAGCUAACGAAACUAUAACUGACGCUGAGGCACGAAAGUGCGGGGAUCAAACAGGAUUAGAUACCCUGGUAGUCCGCACCGUAAACG